AACCAAAGGCUUCAAGGCCUCAGUCUGCGUUACUGUGGUCUGGGACCUCAGAGCGGGCUAAGGCUGGGUUCGGUCAUCAGCCAGAGUGCCAUUUGCGAGCUGUUCCUUGAUGGCAAUUACUUGGAAUGUUCCGGAGCACUGGCUCUUCUCAGGCCCAUAGCAGGCUUUGCGGAGACACAGGGGGAAGACCAGCCAGCCCCAGGCUCACCAGACACUGGAAAUCCCCCUCAGCGGCUCCAAGCCAAACAGAGAGGAAGUUCAACUAUGAACCAGAUUACAAAAUCGUCUGAAGCUGUAACAGUGAAAACUACUUCAGGGAAGAAAAAGAGAAAAAAAGGAAUCAAGAAGAAAAUUGAAGGUCUGAUGGAAAGUGGUCCUUGGUUAGUGAAGUUGCAUUAGGCAGAUAAUGGCAUAGAUGGAAAAGGAAGAGAAGGAGAAAAUGGUUUAUUGGAAUUCAUUCAAACUUUAACAUGCCUGAUCAAAUACUCUGCCUACUUAAGGGAAAUUGACCUUGGAAACAAUGUUCUGGGAGAAAUGGCUGCUGCUAACAUACUU
rnacentral:lncRNA from 1 species